AAUAGAUACCCAGGUAGUCCAUGCCGUAAACGUUGGAUACUAGGUGUGGCGUCCCGAUCAACGGAUGCCGUGCCGAAGCUAACGCAUUAAGUAUCCCGCCUGGGGAGUACGGCCGCAAGGCUAAAACUCAAAGGAAUUGGCGGGUCCCCGCACAAGCGGCGGAGCAUGCGGCUUAAUUCGAUGCAACCCGAAGAACCUUACCUGGGUUUGACAUCACGGGAAAAGCUGUGGAAACACAGUGUCCGUAAGGGCCCGUGACAGGUGGUGCAUGGCUGUCGUCAGCUCGUGUCGUGAGAUGUUGGGUUAAGUCCCGCAACGAGCGCAACCCUUGUCCUAUGUUGCCAGCACGUAAUGGUGGGGACUCAUGGGAGACUGCCGGGGAUAACUCGGAGGAAGGUGAGGACGACGUCAAGUCAUCAUGCCCCUUAUAUCCAGGGCUGCACGCAUGCUACAAUGGUCGGUACAACGGGCAGCAAGCUCGCGAGAGUAAGCGAAUCCCUUAAAGCCGGCCCUAGUUCGGA
rnacentral:rRNA from 1 species